CUUGGAGGACAGGAAGGAUGUAAUCUCUCCUGGUAAUAUCUUGGAGGACAGGAAGGAUGUAAUCUCUCCUGGUAAUAUCUUGGAGGACAGGAAGGAUGUAAUCUCUCCAGGUGAUAUCUUGGAGGACAGGAAGGAUGUAAUCUCUCCUGAGAAUAUCUUGGAGGACAGGAAGGAUGUAAUCUCUCCUGGUAAUAUAUUGGAGGACAGGAAGGAUGUAAUCACUCCUGGUAAUAUCUUGGAGGACAGGAAGGAUGUAAUCUCUCCUGGUGAUAUCUUGGAGGACAGGAAGGAUGUAAUCUCUCCAGGUGAUAUCUUGGAAGACAGGAAGGAUGUAAUCUCUCCAGGUGAGAUCUUGGAGGACAGGAAGGAUGUAAUCUCUCCAGGUGAUAUAUUGGAGGAUAGGAAGGUUGUAGUCUCUCCAGGUGAUAUCUUGGAGGACAGGAAGGAUGUAAUCUCUCCAGGUGAUAUCUUGGAGGACAGGAAGGAUGUAAUCUCUCCAGGUGAUAUCUUGGAGGACAGGAAGGAUGUAAUCUCUCCAGGUGAUAUCUUGGAGGACAGGAAGGAUGUAAUCUCUCCAGGUGAUAUCUUCGAGGACAGGAAGGAUAUAAUCUCUCCUGGUGAUAUCUUGGAGGAGAGGAAGGAUGUAAUCUCUCCAGAUGAUAUCUUGGAAGACAGGAAGGAUAUAAUCUCUCCUGGUAAUAUCUUGGAAGAUAGGAAGGAUAUAAUCUCUCCUGGUAAUAUCUUGGAAGACAGGAAAGAUAUAAUCUCUCCUGGUAAUAUCUUGGAGGAUAGAAAGCAUGUAAUCUCUCCUGGUAAUAUCUUGGAGGACAGGAAGGAUGUAAUCUCUCCUGGUAAUAUCUUGGAGGACAGGAAGGAUGUAAUCUCUCCUGGUAAUAUCUUGGAGGACAGGAAGUAUGUAAUCUCUCCUGGUAAUAUCUUGGAAAACAGGAAGGAUGUAAUCUCUCCAGGUGAUAUCUUGGAGGACAGGAAGGAUGUAAUCUCUCCUGAGAAUAUCUUGGAGGACAGGAAGGAUGUAAUCUCUCCAGGUGAUAUCUUGGAGGACAGGAAGGAUGUAAUCUCUCCUGAGAAUAUCUUGGAGGACAGGAAGGAUGUAAUCUCUCCUGGUAAUAUCUUGGAGGACAGGAAGGAUGUAAUCUCUCCUGGUAAUAUAUUGGAGGACAGGAAGGAUGUAAUCUCUCCUGGUAAUAUCUUGGAGGACAGGAAGGAUGUAAUCUCUCCUGGUAAUAUCUUGGAGGACAGGAAGGAUGUAAUCUCUCCUGGUAAUAUCUUGGAGGACAGGAAGUAU
rnacentral:lncRNA from 1 species